rnacentral:rRNA from 1 species
AUUGAACGCCGGCGGCAUGCUUUACACAUGCAAGUCGAACGGCAGCGCGGGCUUCGGCCUGGCGGCGAGUGGCGAACGGGUGAGUAAUACAUCGGAACGUGCCCAGUAGUGGGGGAUAGCUCGGCGAAAGCCGGAUUAAUACCGCAUACGACCUGAGGGUGAAAGCGGGGGAUCUUCGGACCUCGCGCUAUUGGAGCGGCCGAUGGCAGAUUAGCUAGUUGGUGGGGUAAAGGCCUACCAAGGCGACGAUCUGUAGCUGGUCUGAGAGGACGACCAGCCACACUGGGACUGAGACACGGCCCAGACUCCUACGGGAGGCAGCAGUGGGGAAUUUUGGACAAUGGGCGAAAGCCUGAUCCAGCAAUGCCGCGUGUGUGAUGAAGGCCUUCGGGUUGUAAAGCACUUUUGGCGGGAACGAAAAGGACUGUGCCAAUACCACGGUUCGAUGACGGUACCCGCAGAAUAAGCACCGGCUAACUACGUG